UACGAAGGGGGCUAGCGUUGUUCGGAAUCACUGGGCGUAAAGGGCGCGUAGGCGGCUUUAUAAGUCGGGGGUGAAAGCCUGUGGCUCAACCACAGAAUUGCCUUCGAUACUGUAGGGCUUGAGACCGGAAGAGGUAAGUGGAACUGCGAGUGUAGAGGUGAAAUUCGUAGAUAUUCGCAAGAACACCAGUGGCGAAGGCGGCUUACUGGUCCGGUUCUGACGCUGAGGCGCGAAAGCGUGGGUAGCAAACAGG
rnacentral:rRNA from 1 species